GAGUGAAGCGGGAAAAGCGCGGUCUCCGGCCGUCCGAGUUGUAAUUUAGAGAAGCGUUAUCCGUGCUGGACCGUGUAUAAGUCUCCUGGAAUGGAGCGUCAUAGAGGGUGAGAAUCCCGUCUUUGACACGGACUACCAGUGCAUUGUGAUGCGCUCUCGACGAGUCGAGUUGUUUGGGAAUGCAGCUCAAAAUGGGUGGUAAAUGCCAUCUAAAGCUAAAUAUUGGCGAGAGACCGAUAGCGAACAAGUACCGUGAGGGAAAGAUGAAAAGAACUUUGGAAAGAGAGUUAAACAGUACGUGAAAUUGUCGAAAGGGAAACGGUUGCAGUCAGUCGCGUUCGCCGGGGAUCAACCUUGCUUUUGCUUGGCGUAUUUCCCGGUGGAUGGGUCAGCAUCAGUUUUGACCGCAGUUGAAAGGCUGGAGGAAUGUGGCACCUUCGGGUGUGUUAUAGCCUCCUGUCAUAUGCUGCGGUUGGGACUGAGGAACUCAGCACGCCGCAAGGCCGGGAUUCGUCCACG
rnacentral:rRNA from 1 species